UGUUUGUCAAGUGCUUUGAAGAACUUUGGCUAUGCGGUACUCCUUGAUUUGCAUUAAGAAUAGCCCACACAGCUCUAAAGGCAUAGGGGUAUACCCAUCAAAGCAGCUGUUUGGUUCUACAUGCUGAAAUCCUCAAUAUAAUGGAUCCAGUAGCUUUGCUUUUCAGAGGAGCUGAACUACCCCAUCCCCAAUAGGCAACUCUGAAAACCCAGCCCAGUGUUCAAACACCUGGGGUGAAAUACUGACUCCAUUAAAUCAGUGGGUGUAUUUGUCAACGACUUAAGAGGGCUAGAAUUUUUCACCCUUUAAAGUUCAUGUUGGCCUCAGUUCUACAAAGCGCCACAAUGCACCACAGGGUAGCCUUCCAGGUCUCUACUUGCUACAGACCUUGUAACUAUGGAACAACUCACGUUGUUGAAUGACCUUCAGAAUCAGCACUUCCUCUGGUAGUAUCCUUGAUUCACUGCUCAAGUCUGCAAGAGCAGCAUCUUGGGCAAAGGAUUUGGAUCACAAGGGAUGUGCAGGACUGGACUGGUGCAGUGGAUUUGCUGUGCUCAUCUGGGAGACCAUUAACUUUUUGAUUUGCGCAGAUGGAACCAAAACCUGGAAUGUUUAAAAAAACCCAACAAACCAAACAUAAAUUUAUGCCAGAAGAGUAAAGAAGCGACAGAGUACAUUGGAAUUACUGGCCAUAUGCACAACUAACUCAAGGUUUCCUUGUGGCAAGAUCCUACC